AACGAACGCUGGCGGCAGGCCUAACACAUGCAAGUCGAGCGAGGACUUCGGUUCUAGCGGCGGACGGGUGAGUAACGCGUGGGAAUGUGCCCUUCUCUACGGAAUAGCCCUGGGAAACUGGGAGUAAUACCGUAUACGCCCUAUUGGGGAAAGAUUUAUCGGAGAAGGAUCAGCCCGCAUUGGAUUAGGUAGUUGGUGGGGUAAUGGCCUACCAAGCCGACGAUCCAUAGCUGGUUUGAGAGGAUGAUCAGCCACACUGGGACUGAGACACGGCCCAGACUCCUACGGGAGGCAGCAGUGGGGAAUCUUAGACAAUGGGGGCAACCCUGAUCUAGCCAUGCCGCGUGAGUGAUGAAGGCCUUAGGGUUGUAAAGCUCUUUCAGCUGGGAAGAUAAUGACGGUACCAGCAGAAGAAGCCCCGGCUAACUCCGUG
rnacentral:rRNA from 1 species